rnacentral:tRNA from 1 species
GCCUGGGUAAUUUAACGGGAUAAAAUACGUCCCUCCUAAGGAUGAUAUCCGCGUUCGAGUCGCGGCCCGGGUA